CCUGGCUCAGGAUGAACGCUAGCUACAGGCUUAACACAUGCAAGUCGAGGGGCAGCAUGGUCUUAGCUUGCUAAGGCCGAUGGCGACCGGCGCACGGGUGAGUAACACGUAUCCAACCUGCCGUCUACUCUUGGACAGCCUUCUGAAAGGAAGAUUAAUACAAGAUGGCAUCAUGAGUCCGCAUGUUCACAUGAUUAAAGGUAUUCCGGUAGACGAUGGGGAUGCGUUCCAUUAGAUAGUAGGCGGGGUAACGGCCCACCUAGUCUUCGAUGGAUAGGGGUUCUGAGAGGAAGGUCCCCCACAUUGGAACUGAGACACGGUCCAAACUCCUACGGGAGGCAGCAGUGAGGAAUAUUGGUCAAUGGGCGAGAGCCUGAACCAGCCAAGUAGCGUGAAGGAUGACUGCCCUAUGGGUUGUAAACUUCUUUUAUAAAGGAAUAAAGUCGGGUAUGGAUACCCGUUUGCAUGUACUUUAUGAAUAAGGAUCGGCUAACUCCGUGCCAGCAGCCGCGGUAAUACGGAGGAUCCGAGCGUUAUCCGGAUUUAUUGGGUUUAAAGGGAGCGUAGAUGGAUGUUUAAGUCAGUUGUGAAAGUUUGCGGCUCAACCGUAAAAUUGCAGUUGAUACUGGAUAUCUUGAGUGCAGUUGAGGCAGGCGGAAUUCGUGGUGUAGCGGUGAAAUGCUUAGAUAUCACGAAGAACUCCGAUUGCGAAGGCAGCCUGCUAAGCUGCAACUGACAUUGAGGCUCGAAAGUGUGGGUAUCAAACAGGAUUAGAUACCCUGGUAGUCCACACGGUAAACGAUGAAUACUCGCUGUUUGCGAUAUACUGCAAGCGGCCAAGCGAAAGCGUUAAGUAUUCCACCUGGGGAGUACGCCGGCAACGGUGAAACUCAAAGGAAUUGACGGGGGCCCGCACAAGCGGAGGAACAUGUGGUUUAAUUCGAUGAUACGCGAGGAACCUUACCCGGGCUUAAAUUGCAGAUGAAUUACGGUGAAAGCCGUAAGCCGCAAGGCAUCUGUGAAGGUGCUGCAUGGUUGUCGUCAGCUCGUGCCGUGAGGUGUCGGCUUAAGUGCCAUAACGAGCGCAACCCUUGUUGUCAGUUACUAACAGGUUCCGCUGAGGACUCUGACAAGACUGCCAUCGUAAGAUGUGAGGAAGGUGGGGAUGACGUCAAAUCAGCACGGCCCUUACGUCCGGGGCUACACACGUGUUACAAUGGGGGGUACAGAGGGCCGCUACCACGCGAGUGGAUGCCAAUCCCAAAAACCUCUCUCAGUUCGGACUGGAGUCUGCAACCCGACUCCACGAAGCUGGAUUCGCUAGUAAUCGCGCAUCAGCCACGGCGCGGUGAAUACGUUCCCGGGCCUUGUACACACCGCCC
rnacentral:rRNA from 1 species